GACGAACGCUGGCGGCGUGCUUAACACAUGCAAGUCGAACGGAAAGGCCCUGCUUUUGUGGGGUGCUCGAGUGGCGAACGGGUGAGUAACACGUGAGUAACCUGCCCUUGACUUUGGGAUAACUUCAGGAAACUGGGGCUAAUACCGGAUAGGAGCUCCUGCUGCAUGGUGGGGGUUGGAAAGUUUCGGCGGUUGGGGAUGGACUCGCGGCUUAUCAGCUUGUUGGUGGGGUAGUGGCUUACCAAGGCUUUGACGGGUAGCCGGCCUGAGAGGGUGACCGGCCACAUUGGGACUGAGAUACGGGCCAGACGCCUACGGGAGGCAGCAGUGGGGAAUAUUGCACAAUGGGCGGAAGCCGUAUGCAGCAACUCCGCGUGCGGGAUGACUGCCUUCGGGUUGUAAACCGCUUUCGCCUGUGACGAAGCGUGAGUGACGGUAAUGGGUAAAGAAGCACCGGCUAACUACGUG
rnacentral:rRNA from 1 species